rnacentral:rRNA from 1 species
AGAAGGCACACCCGGAGAACUGAAACAUCUUAGUACCCGGAGGAAGAGAAAGAAAAUUCGAUUCCCUUAGUAGCGGCGAGCGAAACGGGAAGAGCCCAAACCAACAAGCUUGCUUGUUGGGGUUGUAGGACACUCUAUACGGAGUUACAAAGGACGACAUUAGACGAAUCAUCUGGAAAGAUGAAUCAAAGAAGGUAAUAAUCCUGUAGUCGAAAAUGUUGUCUCUCUUGAGUGGAUCCUGAGUACGACGGAGCACGUGAAAUUCCGUCGGAAUCUGGGAGGACCAUCUCCUAAGGCUAAAUACUCUCUAGUGACCGAUAGUGAACCAGGACCGUGAGGGAAAGGUGAAAAGCACCCCGGAAGGGGAGUGAAAUAGAACCUGAAACCGUGUGCUUACAAGUAGUCAGAGCCCGUUAAUGGGUGAUGGCGUGCCUUUUGUAGAAUGAACCGGCGAGUUACGAUU